GGUCAUAACAUGGUGCAAAACUCACUUAACAAAUGUUUCACUUAGCAACAUAAUUGUAGUCGAAACUCAUGGGCUACUGGUAUCUGGCAAUCUCUCCCUAAUUUCUCUCAUCACAUUCUUGUUUUAUCGCUUCUCUCAUUAUCCUCCAUGCCAUAAUCUCAGUUUGCCUGCCUCUCUACUGUCAAUUAUAAAUAAAUCAAUUUUCCCAGAACCUCUUGGAGUCACUUGCACCAACAUUAAUUUAAAUAAAAACAUUCAUUCAUAUAAAAUGUCCAAUGUCUCCAGUUAGCAGGCAACCUGCUGGCAUGCCUAAUAGUUCAAUCAAUCUGCAAAGUAAGAAACAUUGUUAUGUGAGGGAUUUGUAAUCAAUGAGCUAGUUCAUAAUAAUUCAGUUACAACUUAUAUAAGUUUCAAAUUUAAAAUAAAUACAGUCUGGUGGUAAAUUGUAUCUAGAAAGUGAUGCAAGAUGCAGCAAAUACUAGAAUGCAAAAAUGAAUGCUUGUUUAUGUAUUUACAUGAAGAAGGACAGCAAUACCUUUCUUUGGUGAGCAGCUGAGUGAAGUUUACAGAGUAAACUUGUGCAAAUGGCCCUGGGCAUAACUGAAAUGAAGUAAUGUGGUCAGCUGUUUGCCAGACAAUUAAAAACAAAGAACCAGUUUUCAGGACAGGUAGAAGAAUCUUAUUGUAAAUGUCAUCUGAUUGUCAGCUUCUGCCCAUUCUUAUUUAUUUUUGUUUAUUAAAUUUACAGUAUUUGCGGCCCAUGUUGUUUCAAAGCAACUCUGGGAGUUUUUAAUUUUGCUUUUAAUUUUGAUGCAUAUCCCUUGCUUUCACGUGGCAAAGGUUUCUGAAUGUAUUUAACUUCUUUCUCCCUUCAUUAACAUUUUUGCAAUUCAGAUUUAUAGGAGAAAUGAAUAGCCAAUCCAGCAUGAAAUCUUUUAUGUGCCCGAGGAAGAAAAUCAUGAUAGACUCCUAGCAAUGAAAAAAAAAGAGAAAAUUCUAAUAAAUAGAAAAUGUGCCACUCUUCACAAAUUUAUCGCUUCCAUUAGUUAUAUCAACUUCUUUAAUCUUUUGUUUCCAAGACCAGCUGUCCUUCUUCUUAAAAAGUACCAAAGGAGAUCUAAAAAUCUUGUAAUGUUUGAGAUGCCCACUCUGAUCAGCUUCAACAAAUCAGGGCUGAGAGAGGUUACUGUCCUGAAGUGACCCAGCUGGCUUUGUGUCCAGGACUAGAACCCAAUUUCAGGCCUGAUGCUUAACCACUAUACUAAACUGGCUAUCAUGCAUCUAUCAGUCCCAACCUAAUGCCUCUUGAGCAUAAGAUAUGAAGAGAAGAUCCAGAAAGGAAGAGAAGACAAUGUCCUUACUCCACAGUAAAAGGAAGAAGAAGAAAAAAAGACCAGAGCAACAACUCACAUUCUUGCCCUCCAAAGUAGCAGGAAUUUAUUUGCAUUGUCUGGCUUACUCAAGUAUGGAACAUAUUCUUCUCUGGAUGGAGUCACUGGAACAAUCAUGGAGUAAACAAGGACAUGGAUUGAUUGACUGUUGCUGAGGUUAUUCAGUGAAAGAAAUGACUUCUAGGUGUCAGUGGGGAUAACAACAAGAUAGGUUUUUGAUGAAUCAUUCCUUUUGUCCCUUAGGCAGUGCAAAAAGUGUUUCUUGAUCUUUCAGGUAUUGAUCUAUAAAAUCUGCAUGUCAAUUCUUUGAAAUUAUCCACUGCAGAGGUCUGUCACAUCAAAGACUGCAGGCUACAGCAACUUGGCCCCAAUGCAAAAGCAUGGCCAAUAUUUAAGGACAGGCACUAAAGCAAUGCAAUUCCCCUCCUCCCCAGAAAACAUUUUCUCAAAAGCCAGGUUCUUGAGGAUUAUUAUUUUUCAAACAAUUAAGUACUCUACAAAACAUAUUAUUUCUGAAGACUAAAAUUUAAAAUGAUCAAAUUAUCAUUAUUUUUUUGGAUAUUUUUAAUUUAUUUGAUGUGCAAACCAUCUGAUCAUGAUUCAGCCCAAGGUGGCUUAUAAAGUGUACAGAAAAGAAACCAGGGAUUGAAAAACAAAAGAACAACUCACCACAUCAGGAAAAUACAGAAAGAGGUAAAAUAUUGGUUUCUAGUGCAUGUUCACAAAUAGCCCUGGCUUAGGGCUGCUUGAAGCACCAGGUUUAGCAAACGUUCCUGAAAGACAGCAAGGGAUGGUGUUGUCAACUUCAUUCUCCUUGACAGCUUCAGCUGUUUUACUAGCAGAACCAGUGUGUCCCAUAAGGUGACAUUAUUUUAUUGAUGAAACCUGGAGACAAUCAACCCCGCUAGAUUUCACAGGAUGGGCAGAAUUAAUUAGACAGAUACGUAUUAAAUAUUAAAUCACUCUUAAAUGUUAAAUAAUAUUAAAUAUCUUGGCCCUAAGCCAGGAAGGGCUUUAUGUAUAUUA